UACGGGGGGGGGCAAGCGUUGUUCGGAAUUACUGGGCGUAAAGCGCACGUAGGCGGAUUUGUAAGUCAGGGGUGAAAUCCCGGGGCUCAACCUCGGAACUGCCUUUGAUACUGCAAAUCUCGAGUCCGGAAGAGGUGAGUGGAAUUCCUAGUGUAGAGGUGAAAUUCGUAGAUAUUAGGAAGAACACCAGUGGCGAAGGCGGCUCACUGGUCCGGUACUGACGCUGAGGUGCGAAAGCGUGGGGAGCAAACAGG
rnacentral:rRNA from 1 species